CAGUAGCCGCGGUAAUACGAAGGUGGCUAGCGUUGCUCGGAAUUACUGGGCGUAAAGGGCGCGUAGGCGGAUGUUUAAGUCAGAGGUGGAAGCCCAGGGCUCAACCUUGGAACUGCCUUUGAUACUGGACAUCUUGAGUGUGGGAGAGGUGAGUGGAACUCCGAGUGUAGAGGUGAAAUUCGUAGAUAUUCGGAAGAACACCAGUGGCGAAGGCGGCUUACUGGCACAUUCUAGACGCUGAGGUGCGAAAGCGUGUGGAGCAAACAGGAUUAGAUACCCCCGUAGUCCCUGUCUCUUAUAC
rnacentral:rRNA from 1 species